GCAUUGGUGGUUCAGUGGUAAAAUUCUAGCCUUCUAUGCAGGAGGCUCGGGUUCCAUUCCCAGUCAAUGCA
rnacentral:tRNA from 1 species